rnacentral:rRNA from 1 species
CCAGACUCCUACGGGAGGCAGCAGUGGGGGAUAUUGCACAAUGGGGGGAACCCUGAUGCAGCGACGCCGCGUGAGUGAAGAAGUAUUUCGGUAUGUAAAGCUCUAUCAGCAGGGAAGAAAAUGACGGUACCUGACUAAGAAGCCCCGGCUAACUACGUGCCAGCAGCCGCGGUAAUACGUAGGGGGCAAGCGUUAUCCGGAUUUACUGGGUGUAAAGGGAGCGUAGACGGCUGUGCAAGCCAGAUGUGAAAGCCCGGGGCUCAACCCCGGGACUGCUCUGGAAACUAUUUGACUGGAGUGCAGGAGAGGUAAGCGGAAUUCCUAGUGUAGCGGUGAAAUGCGUAGAUAUUAGGAGGAACACCAGUGGCGAAGGCGGCUUACUGGACUGUAACUGACGUUGAGGCUCGAAAGCGUGGGGAGCAAACAGGAUUAGAUACCCUAGUA